rnacentral:ncRNA from 2 species
GGGAAGUCCGGUGAGAGUCCGGCGCUGACCCGCAACGGUAAGCGGAACGGCCCCGCCCGGGGCCGCGCUCCGCGAGCCCGAUCGCC